rnacentral:lncRNA from 1 species
UUCUUGAUUUGUUCAUCGGGUCAACUUUUGGGUAUUUGCACCUUGAUCCUUGAACUUUCACUUUGUGUCAUUUUAGUCCUUUUUCGCGUCUUUUCUCGUGUAUUUCACCAUGUUCAUCGGUGUUGCCUACAAUUCACAAAUGUAACGAAAUUAAGUCACAAUUCAAUCAUUUUAUUCGUAAUUGAGUCAUGUUUGUGACCUAAAUAAGUGUACAAAAACACACUUAUCA